AAAUUGAAGAGUUUGAUCAUGGCUCAGAUUGAACGCUGGCGGCAGGCCUAACACAUGCAAGUCGAACGGUAACAGGAAGCAGCUUGCUGCUUCGCUGACGAGUGGCGGACGGGUGAGUAAUGUCUGGGAAACUGCCUGAUGGAGGGGGAUAACUACUGGAAACGGUGGCUAAUACCGCAUAACGUCGCAAGACCAAAGAGGGGGACCUUAGGGCCUC
rnacentral:rRNA from 1 species